AACGAACGCUGGCGGCAUGCCUAACACAUGCAAGUCGAACGAAGACUUCGGACUUAGUGGCGCACGGGUGCGUAACGCGUGGGAAGCUGCCCUUGGGUACGGAAUAACUCAGAGAAAUUUGUGCUAAUACCGUAUCAUGUCUUCGGACCAAAGAUUUAUCGCCCAAGGAUGAGCCCGCGUAAGAUUCGCUAGUUGGUGGGGUAAAAGCCUACCAAGGCGACGAUCUUUAGCUGGUCUGAGAGGCUGAUCAGCCACACUGGGACUGAGACACGGCCCAGACUCCUACGGGAGGCAGCAGUGGUUAAUAUUGGACCAUCGGCGAAGGCCUGAUCCUGCUCUGCCGCUUGAGUGAUGAAGUCCCUAGGGUUGUAAAGCGCUUUUACCUGGGAUGAUAAUGACAGUACCUGGACAAUAAGCCCCGGCUAACUCCGUG
rnacentral:rRNA from 1 species